rnacentral:tRNA from 2 species
AGAAAUAUGUCUGAAAAAGAGCUACUUUGAUGAAGUAGACCAUAGAGGUUCAAGCCCUCUUAUUUCUA